GGCGAGUGUGGCGGGAAGAGCUCAAAUUUGAAAUCUGGUGGCCUCAGGUCAUCCGAGUUGUAAUCUAUAGAAGUGUUUUCCGUGCUGGCUCAUGUACAAGUCCCUUGGAACAGGGCGUCAUAGAGGGUGAGAAUCCCGUCCUUGACAUGAACUACCAGUGCUCUGUGAUACAUUUUCAACGAGUCGAGUUGUUUGGGAAUGCAGCUCAAAAUGGGUGGUAAAUUCCAUCUAAAGCUAAAUAUUGGCGAGAGACCGAUAGCGAACAAGUACCGUGAGGGAAAGAUGAAAAGCACUUUGGAAAGAGAGUUAAACAGUAUGUGAAAUUGUUGAAAGGGAAACGAUUGAAGUCAGUCGUGCUCUUUGGAUUCAGCCGGUUCUGCCGGUGUACUUCCUUUGAGUGGGGUCAACAUCAGUUUUGAUCGCUGGAUAAAGGCUGGAGGAACGUAGUACCCUCGGGUAAACUUAUAGCCUCCUGUCACAUACAGUGGUUGGGACUGAGGAACGCAGCACGCCUUUAUGGCCGGGAUUCGUCCACGUACGUGCUUAGGA
rnacentral:rRNA from 1 species